UUAAGCAUAUCAAUAAGCGGAGGAGAAGAAACUAACAAGGAUUCCCUUAGUAACGGCGAGCGAAGUGGGAAGAGCUCGAGCCUGAAAUCCCUGGCAGUCACUGUCAGAGAAUUGUGGCCGGGAGAGGCAACUAGGCCCUGACAUGCGCUGUCAAAGUUGACCUGGAAAGGCACGUCAGAGAGGGUGAGAGCCCCGUACGUGGCACCGCUGUCCAGGGCCGCCAUUGCCUUCAGAGAGUCGGGUUGUUUGGGAAUGCAGCCCAAAGUGGGUGGUAAACUCCAUCUAAAGCUAAAUACUGGCACGAGACCGAUAGCAAACAAGUACCGUGAGGGAAAGGUGAAAAGUACUUUGAAAAGAGAGUCAAAAAGACCGCGAAACCGUUAGGAGGGAAACGAAUGCAGCUAAAUUAGCUUUGUUUCAGGCUCAGGAGGAUGUUGGGUUUCGAUGCCAGCUGCCAAAAGCCGAUAGGUUUUGACUGCUGGAUAGUGGUCAACUCCUCUGCAUUCCUGUGCACAAGCUAGCCAACAACAGUUGUCCGUGGCUGAUGAGGGCAGUUGGGUAGGUAGUUCUCAGAAUUUUUCCGAGAAAACGUAUAGCCAUCUGUCUGGAAGUCUGCGGAGGACUGAGGAAAACUGUCAGUGCAGGCCCUCUGGGCUUGGGCCGCUUCUGGUCGUUCUGGGCACCACUUGUGGGACUGCUUGCAGUGCCAUUUGAUGGGCUGUUUGCUCGAGCGGGAGACUGGUCACACCUUGUGCUGUAGUUGUUGGUGUUCAAAUGGCUGCAUCCGAC
rnacentral:rRNA from 1 species